GGCAACCAGACAGGAGCUUCCUAAAAGUCACACAUUCUCCAUGUGUUGGUGAGAACAAAUGGCGCCUGCCUCCUGCAUCUAUUUUAAGAGUCUGGCAUGUAAAUAUGGAAGAUGACUAAGACUGACCCACACAAUUUUGGGUGGAAAGAAGCCAAUAGCGAAUGAGCCUGAAGCCAAAAAGGCAAAGAGGUGAUGGUCUUGGAACAGUCAUCAAUAUUGCUGCAAAGAAUACUAAGUCAGCGCAGUUAUCUCUGCUGGGAGAGGGGAGAAGAAUGAUCUAACACAACAGCUGACUCGACAAGCUGGCGCUUUGAUCCUAAUAAGAAUCUCAUGAGAGACACAGACACGCAACCUAUCAGAUUCUCCUCUGUAUCUCGACUCUGCUCCUGGUUCUGCUUCCUGGCACAUAGAAGAUUGUACACUCAUCCAGAUGGAUCCAUGAAGCAAGCAUCAGACAAAAGCAUUACUUCCAGGAUUUGCCACUUGAGAUUCUCCAGAAUUACUUUUCUGGAGAUGCAUCAUAUGAGAGACAGCAAGUUUCAGUGGGCGGAGUCAAUGUCAGCUUGGGCACCUGAGUAACUAUCACCCAGAGUAAAGUCCCUAGUAUUGAUCCAACUUGGACAUCACAAUGAAAGAAAAAUCAGGCAAUGGAAACCAAAAAAAAAGGAAGAAAGGAGACAUCGUAGACUUGGCAUCCCGAGACUCAGUUACAGCAGUGUGACCGUGAGUCACUUCUCUCUGGGGUUCCUGGUCUGUCCCCAAGCAGCUCCUCUGUUUUUCUCUUAGGAUGUCAACUUCUGGCACAUAAUUACUUCCAAAGAGUAAUACUAACUACUGAUGGCGUCACCUUUCAGGCACCUACCCAAACACCCCCUCCAUCUGCAAAGGCUACCAUGGUGCCCAAGUUGGAGCAGUUUGGAGACUGGCGAGCAUUUUACAUCUCUGCUAUCAUAACGGUGAUUGCACUUGAGCAUCCUGAUUUGCUUGUCUCCCAUCAGCAUCCUAUUUUGGGUAAUGAGGACAGAGACUCAUCUUACGCACUUCAUAACUCUGUGCGAGAAAUGGAAUGUGUCACUACAACAGCCAGCUAAUUCUCUUCUCCUAAGCACAAGACAAGCCCACUGACCAGCCUUAUGGUCUUGAGAAAGCUGGCUACUCUUCUCCACUUCUUCCUCUGUGAAAUGGAAGGAAUGAUAGAUGUAUCAGAUGAAUCUGAAAGUCUAAUACCUCGGAGGGAAAUCAAUCGUUUCUAAUAAAAUAGAUACCUCACGUUAACGUUCCUUUUUCACUUCAGAGAAUAUGAAGAAACUUCAGAACAGCAACAAUAACAAUAAAAAGCACCAUAGAGGGACGAUCACUGUUCAUGGUACUGGUGUUUGUACGUGGUUCUCUUUCUGAAUGUCAGACAGUUUAAAAAUUAAAACGUUAUGGCUCUA